rnacentral:rRNA from 1 species
GUCGAGCGGUACAGGGGAGCUUGCUCCUGCUGACGAGCGGCGGACGGGUGAGUAACGCGUAGGAAUCUGCCUAGUAGAGGGGGACAACAUGUGGAAACGCAUGCUAAUACCGCAUACGCCCUGAGGGGGAAAGGAGGGGACUUUUCGGAGCCUUCCGCUAUUAGAUGAGCCUGCGUGAGAUUAGCUAGUUGGUAGGGUAAAGGCCUACCAAGGCGACGAUCUCUAACUGGUCUGAGAGGAUGACCAGUCACACUGGGACUGAGACACGGCCCAGACUCCUACGGGAGGCAGCAGUGGGGAAUAUUGGACAAUGGGCGGAAGCCUGAUCCAGCCAUGCCGCGUGUGUGAAGAAGGCCUUAGGGUUGUAAAGCACUUUCAGGGGUGAGGAAGGGUGAUUGGUUAAUACCCAAUUAUCUUGACGUUAGCCCCAGAAGAAGCACCGGCUAACUCUGUGCCAGCAGCCGCGGUAAUACAGAGGGUGCAAGCGUUAAUCGGAAUUACUGGGCGUAAAGCGCGCGUAGGUGGUUUGUUAAGUCGGAUGUGAAAUCCCAGGGCUCAACCUUGGAAUGGCACCCGAUACUGGCAGGCUAGAGUACGGUAGAGGGGUGUGGAAUUUCCUGUGUAGCGGUGAAAUGCGUAGAUAUAGGAAGGAACAUCAGUGGCGAAGGCGACACCCUGGACUGAUACUGACACUGAGGUGCGAAAGC